rnacentral:piRNA from 1 species
UACAUAGCUGGGAUGAAGGUUGAGAC